AAGAGGAGAGAGAACAGACGGGAGAGAGAGAGAGAGAGAGGGAGAGAGACUGGGAAGAGGUUGAAGGCGGGGAAGAAGAUCAAUUUAAUUUCCUCGCUUUUCCCUCUUUUUGACCCCUACGUCCCUCUAGAUCUUCUUGAGCUAGCUGGUCGUUAGAUGUCCUCUGGCUACCAUGGUUUCCGACCAGGUACUCGCCAACUGUGUAGAGUCUCUUGUCCGUGAGGGCGGCGCCGCUUCUAUCACUUCCCUUGAAAACUUCAUCCGCCAGCUCGAAGCCAAGCUCGGAAUGGAUCUCUCCAGCAAAGCCUCUUUUAUCAAUGAACAGAUCUAUAUCCUCCUUGGUCCUCAUUUCCCUCAAGUUCCAACAUCUUCCUCCGUCAUCGAUGCGGCCGACAGCAGCCAUUUCACACAGAUUCCUGCUGCGUCCUGUCUGUUCGACCACAUCCCACGGCAGCCAAAUGUUCCUUCCUUCCGUUUCACCGCUCCCAUGGCGCUAGUAGCCGCAACGCACCAGGAGCAUCUCACUCACCACCAGUAUAAUCCGGCGACGACGGCGGCGCCUGAUCCUGCUCCUGCGCGGGCUCCGGUCGCUUCUCCUAAAGAAAGUGCCCCUGCUGCACCUAAAAGGCGAGGUGGCCCAGGUGGUUUGAGCAAAGUUUGUGGAGUUACACCUGAGCUGCAGACCAUUGUUGGUGAACCAACCAUGGCAAGGACUGAGAUUGUGAAGCAAUUGUGGGCUUACAUCCGAAGAAAUAAUCUGCAAGAUCCUAAUAAUAAGAGGAAGAUCAUAUGUAAUGAUGAAUUACGUCUAGUUUUUGAAACAGAUUCCACUGACAUGUUCAAGAUGAAUAAACUAUUGGCUAAACAUAUAAUUCCACUUGAACAUACAAAAGAACCUGGUUCAGACUCUAAAAGACAAAAGAAAAGUGAUAGGGAAGUGGGUGUUGAACCAGAAUCUCAAGGUGGACAGUAUCUUCUGGUUAUUUCUGAUGGGCUAGCUGAAUUUCUUGGAACAGGUGAAAGGGAGAUACUUCAGUCUGAGGCAUUGAAGCGUGUCUGGGAUUACAUAGAGGCUAACCACCUAGAGGUUAUUAUGCCCUUUGUUUGUACUAUUCUGAUUAGGGACCACAGGAAUAGCAUGAUAAUGUGUGACACAAAGCUUCAGCGACUCUUUGCAUGCGAAAGCAUAUCUGCUUCAGGGGUUUCCAAGAUGUUGGCACACCACUUGUUCAAACAAUCCUAACAGAGAUGAUAUUAACUGUGGUUGUACUACAGGCAAGGGGAAGAAGCCAGUGGGGUAGUAGUCAAGACAAUUGAAUACUCUUUUGUUUGCAUUAAAUUUUUGGGUGUAUCAGAGGAGUUGUACAGACUUUUGAGUAUAGAUGUGCAGUUGAAGCGUAUCUACGCAACCUAACUCUGAUAACAGUAUAGGAAGAAGGAAAACUGAACCAAGAAAUUGUUUUUAGUUUACUAUUGACCUUUGUAAUUUAUCUAUGGUGAAAUUUGAUAAGAUAACGAAUAGUUUGGAUACAGAUUUGGUAAUAUGAUUGCCAUAGCUCUCUAGAUUAUUCUCCUUUACAGCAUCGUUCCAUAUCGUAUCUUUGUGGCCCCAUUUUCAUGGAAAGCGCAAGUGACAUAAACUCCUAUCGUUGUUCUUGUAGCAUUGGACUCGUAUCCUUCCUGUAGCCAUAUGGCUUCUAAUUGUAAGCUUUAUUUCGGUCGGCUCUGCAGAUUUGAUUUUCCCAUUUCUGUAGAGGAGCUUAUAGCUGUAUGAAAUUCUGAUUUUUGUAUAAUUUGGAGUAUUUUGUUGGGUAUUGAUUGAUUUGAGCAUGAA